rnacentral:lncRNA from 1 species
GUUAAGAAACCAUGGUUAAACAACGAUAUUGCCAACGUUGAAAAACCACUGUUAUUGAACCAUGGUUAUACCAUGGUUUUACAAUAGUUCAAAACCCAUAGUUUUUUAACCGUGGCAAUAUCAUGGUUUAACCGUGGGUUCUUAACGAUGGUUUUUUAACCAUGGUUUAACCAUUGAAUAACCAUCGUUAAAAAACCAUGGUUAAGAAACCAUGCUUAAAACCAUGGUUUUACCACGGUACAAAAAUCAUGGUAACAAAACCAUGGUUGAACCAUUGGAUAACCAUUGCUAAAAAACCAUGGUUAAGAAACCAUGAUGUAACCAUGGUUUUACCAUGGUUGAAAAACCACGGCUAUUGAACCAUGGAUGAAACCAUGGUUUUACCACGGUACAAAAACCACGGCUAUUGAACCAUUGUUGAACCAUUGGAUAACCAUUGCUAAAAAACCAUGGUUAAGAAACCAUGGUGAAACCAUGGUUUUGCCAUGGUCGAAAACCACUGUAACUAAACCAUGGUUAAAAACCAUGGUUUUACCACAGUUGAAAAACCAUGGCUAUUGAACCGUGGAUGAAACCAUGGUUUUACCACGGUUGAAAAACCACGGCUAUGAAACCAUGGUUUAACCAUAGUUUUACAACUGUACAAAAAACUAGGUAACGAAACCAUUUUUAAAAGUUCUACCAAGAUACAAAAACCAUGGUAAAGAAAUCAUGUGCAAACCAUGGUUUUGCCAUGGUUGUAAACCAUGGUAACGAAACUAUAGUUAAAAUGAUGGUUUUACCGAGGUUGACAAACUACGGUUACGAAACCAUAGUUAAACCAUGGUUUUAGAAUUGUUCUGAUACCAUAGUUAUAAAAACAUGGUUAAACCAUGGUUUUACCACAAAUCAAACAACGGUCUGACCGUAGUUAACUACACUUUUGACAUGGUCUCAACACGAGUAUUAAAAAAAAUUAAAAAAAACUACUAUCAUGUAACCAAUGUAGUUAUGACCACUAUAUACAUAAUACAUGUAUGACCAGCACUACUCGAUUGUUUUGAUGACCUUGAACUGAUUCGAUAAUAUGGAAUUGUAACAAUUUGCCCCAAAAUAAAUACAAUUAUUAGUGUGUUUGCUGCCAUCUAGUGGUGGAAUGCACACUGUAUUUCCAAUUUUGAAUUUCUUCACUCCAGCCAUUACUUUGCCGUUUCGCCAAAUUUGUCUUCCUUUAAAACCCAGAAUAUAGGGGAUAAGGGUUAGAUUUACACCAGGAAAGAAGAAUUGUACGAGACUAAGAGUAUUCCAGAGCAAGAAUUGGACAACAUGAAGAACUCGAAGUAGAUCUAGAUUUCAAUUUACCAGACAGUCACACUGGUCUACAUACUACAGUACAGUCCCACACAGCCACUCAUGUGUGGGAAAAUAUCGGUCUGCAGAAAACGACCAACUUUGCUUUGCUGCUGGAGCUAUACUUUAAGGUCAACAUUUUCUCCAGGAGGGUAUCUUCGGCUGCGGGAAAGUCGUCAACAUGGACUGUUCCAGUGAACAUGCAGUCUUGAUUUGUAAGACUAAACUGUCCAACAAACUUCACGGAAAUUAUGCAAGACAUGGGUGAGAGUUUGAGAAUUCAUCUGUAUGGGAUCCCUAUAGAGGAGAGCUUUUCAAAAUUAUACCAGUUAUGCUGACCAGCAAACAUUCAGCAAGUACAUCCAGUACAAUCGACCCUGUCACCUUUGUUCGGUCGGAAGGAAUCUGAGAAAGUAAUCUUCAAUACACAGCUUUUUUUCGAGCAAAACUUUUAAAUUUGCCGCACAGAUGUGACGUAUACGCCUCUGUCUGUGUUGUGAGGACCCUACGUCACAAAAAAUGUCGCGCAAUGCAUUGUGAGAGGAACCGGCUCGAUCAUUCACUUGUUUUUUGCUCAUUAAAGCCUUACUGCACUCCUUUUAGCUACUUGCUC